GGCUAGUCUGAAGGUGAUGAGUUAUGUCAACUGAUUGUUCAUUGUCAAACUCCUUGUUCUACUCUUUCUCCUCUUCUCACUACUGCACUUGACUAGUCUUAA
rnacentral:Y_RNA from 2 species